rnacentral:rRNA from 1 species
GAUGAACGCUGGCGGCGUGCUUAACACAUGCAAGUCGAACGGGAUCGGCUGGAGCUUGCUCCGGCCGUGAGAGUGGCGAACGGGUGAGUAAUGCGUGACCGACCUGCCCCAUACACCGGAAUAGCUCCUGGAAACGGGUGGUAAUGCCGGAUGCUCCAGUUGACCGCAUGGUCCUCUGGGAAAGCUUUUGCGGUAUGGGAUGGGGUCGCGUCCUAUCAGCUUGAUGGCGGGGUAACGGCCCACCAUGGCUUCGACGGGUAGCCGGCCUGAGAGGGCGACCGGCCACAUUGGGACUGAGAUACGGCCCAGACUCCUACGGGAGGCAGCAGUGGGGAAUAUUGCACAAUGGGCGCAAGCCUGAUGCAGCGACGCCGCGUGCGGGAUGACGGCCUUCGGGUUGUAAACCGCUUUUGACUGGGAGCAAGCCCU